rnacentral:misc_RNA from 1 species
AAGUCGUAACAAGGUUUCCGUAGGUGAACCUGCGGAAGGAUCAUUAAAUGAAAAAUCUGUAUUCUGUUGAAUAUAUCGGAUUCUUAAACCCCAUCUGUGUACCACACCCGUUGCUUCCGCUGGGCAGUGAUAUCCCGUCGGUCGACACCCUACCCUCCGGGGUGAGAAGGUCGUCACGGCUGGAUGGACAAGUCCCGGCGAAAGGUCCGCAUUAAACCUUUGCAUUUCCAUUGCCGCCUGUCUGAACCUUUUUAUAUAACAAAUGUUAAAACUUUCAACAACGGAUCUCUUGGUUCUC